rnacentral:rRNA from 1 species
GACGAACGCUGGCGGCGUGCUUAACACAUGCAAGUCGAACGGAUCGGCCCUGCUUUUGUGGGGUGCUCGAGUGGCGAACGGGUGAGUAACCCGUGAGUAAACUGCCCUUGACUUUGGGAUAACUUCAGGAAACUGGGGCUAAUACCGGUUAGAAGACCCUGCUGCAUGGUAGGCGUUGGAAAGUUUGCGUGGCAGGGGCUGGAGUCGCGGCUUAUGAGCUUGUUGGUGGGGUAGUGACUUACCAAGGCUUUGACGGGUAGCCGGCCUGAGAGGGUGACCGGCGACAUGGGGACUGAGAGACGGCGCAGUCGCCAACGUUAGGCAACAGUGGGGAGUAUGACAGAAUGGGGGGAAGCCUGAGGCAGCAACUCCGCGUGCGGGAUAAUGUCCUUCUAGUUGUAAACCACGAUCUCCGGAGAUGAAGCGUGAGUGACGGUAAUUAGUAAGAAAGCAACGGCUAACUACGUG